AUUUCCAAAUGAGAGUUUCAUGAGUCCAUUGCGAUAAUUGAUUAGGGUAUAGGUAGUCACUAAGAAUGAUCUUCCCAAGAUUACUGGGAUGUGACCUUUUAGAUUAAUCACUGGUUCAGUCUCGAGGAUCACAAAAUUUAUAAGAUAAAUGAAAUUACUUACCUUGAUUAACACAUCUUCCACAACUCUUUUAGGGACUGUUGGGUAUAAAAUAACCCCAGCCAAAAUUUGUAAAAGGCCAACCCUCCCAGGAC
rnacentral:lncRNA from 1 species